rnacentral:rRNA from 1 species
GACAGAGGGUGCAAACGUUGUUCGGAUUUACUGGGCGUAAAGCGUGUGUAGGCGGCUUCGCAAGUUGGAUGUGAAAUCCCACGGCUCAACCGUGGACGUGCAUCCAAAACUGCGUCGCUAGAGUCUCGGAGAGGAAGGUGGAAUGCUUGGUGUAGAGGUGAAAUUCGUAGAUAUCAAGCAGAACACCUGCGGCGAAGGCGGCCUUCUGGACGAUGACUGACGCUGAGACCCGAAAGCGUGGGGAGCAAACAGG